rnacentral:lncRNA from 1 species
GUGUAUGUUGCACGUUGAUUACUGAAAUAGCUAUGUUCUGUUCUCUGAGGUGAGAGGAGGACAGGCCUGUGGCACUUCUGAGGGGCCAGGCAUGGGGCAGACCUGCAUGACUGUCAGCAAGUAACACAGCAUUGUGAGUGCAUCUGGCUGACUGAGCAGGACACCCUAGAUAGCACAAAGCCAGAGUCAACUUACGACUCUUCUUUCUGAUGAAAUCUCACCAUGGACUCCAUAUUUAAUACCACUUGCGACAUAAUACUGAGGUUCCGAGGGUGACCUAUCAUGACUUCUGUGGCUGAUACUUAAAUUACAUUAAGUUAAGAUACAUUAAGUAGACACUUAAAUAUUUAAGAAAUAACAAGACCAAGUUUCAUUUUGUCAAUCAAUACUAACAACAACAUGGAGAGAAUAUAUGGAGCUGGAGAGAUGGCUCAGUGGUUAAGAGUAUAGAUUGCUCUUCCAGAGGUCCUGAGUUCAAUUCCAGCAACCACAUGGUGGCUCACAAUGAGAAAGCAAUGGUGUAUUCAUAUACAUAUAUAUUUUUUAAAUCUUUAAAAAAAAAACAACAACAAAACCCUGGAAGUUGCUACUUGUGUAAAAUAAAAAUAUAUAGGAGAAUACACAAGUAAACUACCUCC